AUUGAACGCUGGCGGCAUGCCUUACACAUGCAAGUCGAACGGUAACGCGGGGCAACCUGGCGACGAGUGGCGAACGGGUGAGUAAUGCAUCGGAACGUGCCCAGUAGUGGGGGAUAGCCGGCGAAAGCCGGAUUAAUACCGCAUACGACCUACGGGUGAAAGCGGGGGACCGGUAAGGCCUCGCGCUAUUGGAGCGGCCGAUGUCAGAUUAGGUAGUUGGUGGGGUAAAGGCCUACCAAGCCUUCGAUCUGUAGCUGGUCUGAGAGGACGACCAGCCACACUGGGACUGAGACACGGCCCAGACUCCUACGGGAGGCAGCAGUGGGGAAUUUUGGACAAUGGGCGCAAGCCUGAUCCAGCCAUGCCGCGUGCGGGAAGAAGGCCU
rnacentral:rRNA from 1 species